rnacentral:lncRNA from 1 species
CUCUUACUGUCAUCUGUGUCACCUCUAAACAUCUCUCAGGGGCCUGUGCUCUGACUGCAACUCCUUUGUACCACAGGUUCCCUGAUAGUAGUCCCCACCCACUGGUCUCCUGCCCCUCCAUCUGCUGAGAUCCAUACCAUCUUCUACCUCCAAACACUCCAGCCUUCUCGCAAGGCUUCCUAGCUGUCCCAGCAAAAUACUGAGGUGGACAUCUUUGUGCCCUGUGCUCAGAGCACAGGCAUCGAGGGAUUGGCGAAUUCCCAAGCUCAGGACAAGUCAAGAAGAGUAAGAUAUGAGGUACCAAGGAAGGUCCCAGCAAGCUCUUUUUGGUGUUGGUGUUGGAAGUCUCACGUUUGCUGAGCAAGUGCUGUACCACCAAGCCGCAUCUCCAAGCCCACACAGGAAGCCUCGUUAAAAAAUGAAAUGAAAUACCAGAGCACAUCCAACACUGAGAAAGAGAAAAACAAACGUUGGCCACCACAGCUGGAAAGUUCUGGAUGGGGUAAAGACAGACAUCACCAGGGCAGGAUGUAAAAACCACAGUCUGAACUCUGGAUGGGGAAGGCGAUCCACAGAGAGCACUCAGCAUGCAUAAAAUCUCCUCUUGGCACUUAAAUGUUUACGGGGCUAGCUCCAUUCCAAACCCCGGCCCAAGACUUACGUCACAGGUGUAGCCCUGUGACGGGUUAUCUGGUCACAGCGACUCAGGAGGCAAAGGAAACAUCCACAACCACGCUUCUGGCUUGCUCAUCUUCCUGGAGGAGGACCCAAAGCCAGUGUACACUGGCUUCCUAAAAGCCACUUGUAAGACCUCUGCAAGCACAUGCAGCAUCCACGAGACCUGCACACGGUGCAGGAAAACCACACUCCGUACCUGUGCCAGCUAGUUUCAUGGCAACUUGACACAAGCUAAAGUCAACCGAAAGGAAGAAACCUCAAGAAAGAAAAUGUCUCCCUAAGAUUGGGCUGUAGGCAAGCCGGUGGGGAAUUUUCUUAGUUAGUGAUUGAUGUGAGAGGUCCCAGUCCAUUGUGGGGGGUGCUCCUGUGUUACAUAAGAAGUCUGGCUGAGCAAGCCAGUAAGCUGUACUCCUUUAUGCAUCAGCUCCUGCCUCCAAGUUCCUGCCCUGCGUGAGCUCCUCCCUCCCUUGACUACUUGGGUGAUGAGCUGUUUCUGUGGAACAAAGAAUGAAACAAAGCCUUUCCUUCCCCAGCUGCUUUUGUUGAUGGUGUUUCAUCUAAGUCAUAGGAACCCCAACUAAGACAAUGCAUGCCUAUGCCUUAAAAAAGAGAGAAAGCUUUAAGAAUUGAGGAUUGACAAUCCUCUGGAUCCUUAGGAUCCCAUUUCAAGGUGGAUAUAACAAGCCUAAAUAAGUUAGUUUAACUUACAGGGAGAGGGCCAAAGGAGUGGAGUGCCUCCGACAGAGGUAUUCAUUGGAAAAAGCUGGAGUGGGAGGACUCUUGCCUUGGAGUCUAGCUAUACAAAGUGGGUUCAGAGGCUGUGACUCACUGAGGAAAAGGAGUGCCCUGUGUCCUAGGGCAGGCUGCUUUCUCCAAACAAGAGUUCUUUGGCUAAGGAAGGAAAUGAGGUAAUAUCAGAUUAAUCAGCUGUCACCAGCCGGACAGAUCUAGAAGUUCAACCAUGCCCAGCUCCUUCUGCUCAUACUUACCCUUUACCUCCAUGGUACGAGGACACUACCAUGCCAGGUUCUAAUGAGAGAGAGCCUGGAGCCCCUCCUUGGUAAGCAGCUCCUUCUCUCUGGACCUUUAAUUUUCUCUUCUAUUAAAUCAGGGGGUAACUGAUCACCAGUAAUGCAACUUGGUCCGUGGUCACAUUUCUUUCUUUCUUUAAUAUAAAAAUUGUUGGGAGCUGGAGAGAUGGCUCAGCAGUUAAGAGCACUGACUGUUCUUUCAGAGGUCCUGAGUUCAAAUCCCAGUGACCACAUGGUGGCUCACAACCAUCUGUAAUGAGAUCUGAUGCCCUCUUCUGGUGUGUCUGAAGACAACUACAGUG